rnacentral:rRNA from 1 species
UUUUCCGGUUGAUCCUGCCGGAGGCCACUGCUAUCGGGGUUCGAUUAAGCCAUGCGAGUCGAGAGGUGCAAGACCUCGGCAUACUGCUCAGUAACACGUGGACAACCUACCCUGAGGAGGGGGAUAACCCCGGAAAACUGGGGAUAAUACCCCAUAGGCCAGGGAUGCUGGAAUGCCUCCUGGUUGAAAGGUCCGCCGCCUCAGGAUGGGUCUGCGGCCGAUUAGGUUGUUGUUGGGGUAACGGCCCAACAAGCCAUUGAUCGGUACGGGUUGUGGGAGCAAGAGCCCGGAGAUGGAUUCUGAGACACGAAUCCAGGCCCUACGGGGCGCAGCAGGCGUGAAAACUUUUCAAUGCGAGAAAUCGUGAUAAGGGAACCCCGAGUGCCCGUAAAUUCGGGCUGUCCAUCAGUGUAAAAAACUGGUGAAUAAAGGGCCGGGCAAGACCGGUGCCAGCCGUCGCGGUAAUACCGGCGGCUCGAGUGGUGGCCGCUAUUAUUGGGCUUAAAGCGUCCGGAGCUGAGUUGUUAAGUCUCGUGCGAAAUCCACCGGCUCAACCGGUGGGCGUUCGGGAGAAACUGGCAACCUAGGGACCGGGAGAGGUGAGAGGUACUCCAGGGGUAGGAGUGAAAUCCUGUAAUCCUUGGGGGACCACCUGUGGCGAAGGCGUCUCACUAGAACGGCUCCGACAGUGAGGGACGAAAGCUGGGGGAGCAAACCGGAUUAGAUACCCGGGUAGUCCCAGCUGUAAACGAUGCGCGUUAGGUGUAUCGGUGACCACGAGUCACCGAGGUGCCGAAGGGAAACCGUGAAACGUGCCGCCUGGGAAGUACGGUCGCAAGGUUGAAACUUAAAGGAAUUGGCGGGAAGGGC